rnacentral:rRNA from 1 species
GCACCCCCGUCAGGCGGGGCAUUUCCCU